AGCACUGUUCGGUAUCUGCAGCCUGCUGCUUCAUCAGCAGGGUUGUUCAAAAUUAAGUGCUAAAGCAAAUCAACAUAUGGCAUUGUUGGUCUCCUUGCUGUCUGUGUUUGGAGUCCUGGUAGACUGUUGAAACAAAU